UAACAGGAAAUUUAAGGGCGUACGGUGGAUGCCUUGACUUUAAGAGGCGAAGAAGGACGUGGCGUUGCUGCGAUAAGCUUCGGGGAGGUGCUUAGCAACCUUUGAUCCGGAGAUUUCCGAAUGGGGAAACCCUGUCUAGUAAACCUAGACAAUUUUUGUCUUUAUGACAAAAGAGCGUACCCUGGGAAGUGAAACAUCUCAGUACCAGGAGGAAAAGAAAACAAACUUGCCCCGCCUCGGCGGGGUAAAUAUUUCCUAAGUAGCGGCGAGCGAAAAGGAAGGAGCCCAAACCUGCGUAGCAAUACGUGGGGGUUGUAAGGUAACAAUUUUUAUUUAAUUAAAGGAGAGUCAAAAAAUAAAUUAUUAGCUUAAGUUGCUGGAAAGCGACACCA
rnacentral:ncRNA from 1 species